CUCAUCCCUCUCACGACAUCGUUUGACUCCUCCGAAUUUUUCUAUAUUCAUGCUCGAUUCGUGAUGCUAUUGGCUAGGGUUUAUUUGAUCUCAUUGUAUAUCUCUCAGCGAUUCUUUUAUAUGUAACCAGAGAACGAUAAUUGUUUGCCGGGGAAAUAUUUAUGUCUCGUCGUCUGCGAUUCAUUCGGGUUUCGAUCCCGCAUUUGAGGUUUUUGAUGACAUGAAACCGAGAAAUCGUGUGCGGUUUAUUUACUGUAUGGUAUGAGAAUUGAGAUGUGCUCUUCAGCCUCUCGAUUUCCGAUUUGCAGUCUCAUUUUGUUUUAGCGUCAUAUCUUGUUCAUCUCAAUGCUAUUGGUAUGUGAUUGAUUAUUUCUUCACAGCUCUCCUGUUCGUAUAAGGGUGAUUGUAUCAGCUUAGGCAUAUCUGUUAUUCCAGAUUUCUGGGUUUUAAAUUCAAGCUGAUGAUAUCAGAAAAUUCUAGUUUACAACCAUUAAUGUAGUUUCUAAGUUGAUAUCCCCGCAGUUUCAGGGUUUUGAAACUGAUGUAAAGCGGAAAGAAGAAACGUGGUAGUGUAAGAUCUUUGCAGGACCAUUCAAAAGUAGGUCAAUUUUCUGAUGAGACUUACAGAGAGAUUGGAAGAGUGGAGGGAGUCCAAGCGUAUGCCUGGCAAACGAGAUUCAUCGGGCAACAGAAUUGAAAGCACAGUUCAUGGCAAUCUAAAGGGGGUAGGGGAGGAAGAAAACUGACCAAAGUAGUGGUGGUGGGUGGGUCUCAAUCGCGAUGCUCUCUCCAGCAGAGAAGAAUGAUGAGACAGCGUCGGAUAAUGGUGCGGGGGCUUUGUUUUGAGAUUUGAAGUGAGAGUGGUAAGGAUGAAUGUGAAACAGGAAAAAAGCAAAGGAGUUUCGGUUACAACCUUGGGGUUUUUGUCUCAGUCAAACAUGGUGUUGUGCUGCUUUAGGGUUUGUUUUGUAUUGGUCAUAUGAGAGGAUCAGUAAUUCCAAGAGAGUUCCAGUCCAGAGUAACUGUCUUCUUCUUCUGACAGGAGACAUCGGUUACUGCUUCUUCAAUGCCCAGAAAAGGACAAAUCCCCAGGCUUGUGGAUGUUGGAAGAGAAAUAACAUUCUCCUUUGGAUCGUAUGGAUGCCCAAUGGGGAUUUGGUAUGUGCAUGUCACGAGUGACGUCUCUUUUAAUGAUUCAAUAAUUUAUUUACUGAUACUACAUUCCACAUCGGCAUGUUCAAUAUUAAUUCCCUCGAACAUGGUACAAAAGUUAAUUUCCUAUGCAUGAUACCAUCAGUUCAUUAUAAAUUCCGAUUUCUCCUC